AAUGAACGCUGGCGGCAGGCCUAACACAUGCAAGUCGAACGGAUCCUUCGGGAUUAGUGGCGGACGGGUGAGUAACGCGUGGGAACAUACCCAAAGGUACGGAAUAGCCUCGGGAAACUGGGAGUAAUACCGUAUGUGCUCGAAAGAGGAAAGAUUUAUCGCCUUUGGAUUGGCCCGCGUUGGAUUAGGUAGUUGGUGGGGUAAUGGCCUACCAAGCCGACGAUCCAUAGCUGGUUUGAGAGGAUGAUCAGCCACACUGGGACUGAGACACGGCCCAGACUCCUACGGGAGGCAGCAGUGGGGAAUCUUAGUCAAGGGGGGAAACCCUGAUCUAGCCAUGCCGCGUGAUCGAUGAAGGCCUUAGGGUUGUAAAGAUCUUUCAGGUGGGAAGAUAAUGACUGUACCACCAGAAGAAGCCCCGGCUAACUCCGUGCCAGCCGCCGCUGUAA
rnacentral:rRNA from 1 species